AGCUGAUUUCAAAUCAAAUACAACUGUUCCCUAUUUAAUGUUUCCAAUUGAGAUUUUAAAGCAUGCUAGUGAAAUUUAUACUCCUGAGGUAUACAAGUGUUUUCAACAGGAGUGGUGCUUAUCUCAUGAUUCUAAUCUUGAAAUUUGUGAGGAUGUUGAUACAUUUGCAAAAUAUAAAGUUACUCCUCACAAAAAGAAAAACCAUCAUAUAGUUACACUUGAUAAGAAGUGUGAAAAGAUUGAGUGUAGCUGUAGAAAAUUUGAAUUUGCUGGGAUUUUGUGUUCUCAUAUUCUGAAAAUAUUUACGUGGAAUAAUAUCAUGAAGAUCCCAAGUGAUUAUGUAUUGAAAAGGUGGACAAGAAAAGCAAAAAUUGGAUAUUUUGGAGUAAAUGAUUCAAUGGCCAACAAUGCUAGUUUGGAUCCAAAAGUACUUCAAAACAUGCGUUACAAAGAGUUGUGUGGGUUGAAUGUUCAAUUGGUUACCAAGGCAGCAGAAAGGGAUGAUACCUACAUGUUUGUUAAAGAUGCUAUGUUGAGCUUGUGUAAGAUAGUGGAUGAUAAAUUACAAGUUAAUGAAUCAAAUGUCCAACAAUUAAAUGUGAGCCAAGCAUCCAGGGAAUUUGAUUAUGGUGAAGGGAACUCUACUGGAGUAAAAGGGAUUAAAAUGAAGAAAAAAACGGUGUCAGGUAAGAGGUUGAAAGGUGGGUUAGAGAAGCUUUCAAGGAAAAGAAAAGCAACGAGGAAAACAAACCAAGCUUCAACAAUUGGUGUAGAUCAAAGUAUUUCCACCGUGGGCAGCGUACAAUGUGACCGGAUCAUUCACCAAGUUGCCUAUAAAUUAUGUGCCAACAAUUGGUAGCUCUGUUGGUAGUUUCAAUAUGACUGAGACUCAAUUUCCACCAUUAUUGGCAUCACAACUUUCUCAGGUGCAAUCCCCAUUUGUGCAAUUUGCUAGACCACCUCGUGCGGAUUCCUCUCCUUAGACAGUAACGAUCUCGUAUGUGCCUAUGUCUAUUUAUAUGUGCACCUGAAAUACUAGUUAAUUUAUUGAUAUGAUUUCCUUUCUUGACAGGUUCCAAAUACUUUAGGUUCCAACUAAUCUAUUGUUUAGUUGCUUUGUGAACAGGGAGUUUGGUUCAUUAAGAAAUUUUAGAAAUAAAUCUCUGUUUGAACUGAGAACAUCCAGCUUUGUGAACAGGCAAGUACUAUUUUUAUCUCGUUCUGAUUACCUUCACAGCUUCCCCUCUUUUGAGUUGAUUUAUGCCAAACUUCAUUUGCACCAUCUUGUUCUUUUCGAUGAUCAGCUUGAUGAGACUGAG